rnacentral:lncRNA from 1 species
GAAGGAAGCACUGUUUACUCACUGUUACCUGUUCAUUGUCUGCAAAUAGAUUAAUGGUCAAAUUAUAUUUUUCAUGUCAGCUUUUUUUGUUGCCAUUGAAUACAAAAUACUGCUGGUCUCAGUUUAAUAUUUGAUAAUGAAAAAAUUUUGCCCAUUGAACAUCUUGGUUUCAUGCAAUACACAGAAUCUAAGUGUAUUUAGGUCUGUGAGUAGACCUAAAAAGGAUUGCCUUUUGAAGAAAUGCUUCUAAAAGACUAUGAAAUUGUGCUCAUCUUUAAAUUGUUGGUGGAAAGCAAAUAAUUUUGAACUAUUCUGUUUUCCCUAGACUAGUAAAAGGUAAAAAUAUUAGUAUGUGAUUAUGAAAACUAGAAAUAGCUUUUAUUUUUCAUUUUUUACUUAUUUUUUUUUCUUUUUUUUUUUUUAGCUUUCACAUACUCGAGACAUGUCUUUCUGUGUCUGGCUGAUUUCACUCACAUGUUGUCCUCAAUUCCAUUCAUUUACUUCAAGCAAUGGGAUUUCAUUCUUAUUUAUGGCUAAAUAAUACUAUACUGUAUGAACAUUUUUCUUUAUUCAUCCAUCUGUUGACAGUCACCUAGACUGACUCCAUGGCUUGGCUAUUGUGAAUCAUGCUGCACUGGGCAUGCGGGUGUCUCUUGUAUGCUGGCUUUAUUUCCAACGGGUAUGUGUCCAGGAAUGGCAUAGCUAGAUAUGGUAGUUCUUUUUAGUUUGAGGAAACACCAUACUGUUUUCCAUAGUGACAGUACUAAAUUACAUUCUUACCAAUAGCAUAUUGCCGCAGUCUGGCUGGGCACAAAAUAACCGAGCCACCACAAAGGCCUUGUAGAUUCAAAUAGCAACUCUUUAUUCCCGAACUCUCACUGGCACUCUACACGCACGUUCUGGGAAAAUACACCCUCCAACUGGCUCUGCGUACCAAAUACCCUCUGAAUCCCGCAAGAACUCAACGGGAACUCCAGGAGUGGGCGCCUGAGGCAGCAGGAUACGCCCUAUUCCCAGCAGGAUCCACCCUAAACCCAGAUCCACCCUAAUCCCUGAGCAGGGUCACCUUUCAACCAAAACUCUCAAACAUUCAUGCAAUGUCACUGCAAAUGACCUGGGUCCAAGGCAAGCCCAUUUCCACAAUGGAGAGUCCUCCCUCUAAGCAACAUUGGGUAGGCUGACAAGGAAACUGCCAUGCGUCAUUCCUACUUGUCUAUGGCUCUCAGCAGCAUAUAAGUAUUCGUUUGUUUUCAUGUCCUUGGCAGCAUUUGUUUAUUUUCUUUUAUAAUUGCCAUUCUAACUAGGGUGAGAUAUUGUUUUACUGCCAUUUUGAUUUGUGUUUCCCUGAUGGCUAAUAAUAUUGAACAUAUUUUCAUAUAUUUAUUGGCUGCUUGUAUUUUUUAAGAAAUGUCUAUUCAGAUCAUUUGCCCAUUUUUAAGUUUGAUUAUCUUUUUUUCUUUAUAUGUUAUGGAUAUCAAUCCUCUAUUAGAUGAAAAGCUGAUGAAUAUUUUAUCUCAUUCUGUAGGUGGUCUCUUCACUCUGUUGAUUUGUUUCCUUUGCUAAGUAGAAGCUUUUUAGUUUGAUGUAAUCCCAUUUGCUAACUUUAGCUUUUUUUUCUGUGCUUUUUGAGUCCUAUCCAGAAAAAUCAUUCUGUAUUGAUAUUCUUGAAGUGCUUCCUUUAUAUUUUAUUUGAGUAGUUUUAACGUUUUAAGCUUUAGUUUGAUCCAUUUGGAGUUAAUUUUUUGUACAGGGUGAGAGUGGGGAUCAAGCUUCAAUCUUUUGAAUGUGGAUAGUUUCCCAGCAUGAUUUGUUAAAGAAGCUGUACUAUUUUUCUAAUGUCUGAUUUUGGCACCUUUGUUGAGAAUCAGUUGACUGUAGACAUGUGGAUUUAUUCCUGGUUUCUCUAUUCUGUACCAUUGAUGUAUGUCUCUUUUUAUACCAAAACCAUGUUGUUUUUGUUGCUAUGGCUCUGUAGUAUGUCUUAAAAUCAGAUAUUGUGAUGUCUCCGUAUGUGCUCUUUUUGCUCAAGAUCACUUUAGCUAUUUGGUACCUUUUGAGCUUCUACAUGAAUUUUAGGAUUGUUGUUCAAGUUCUGUAAAAAAUGUCACUGGCAUUUUGAUGGGGGUUGCAUUGAAUCUAUAGAUCACUUUGGGUAGUGUAGACAUUUUAAUGAUAUUUUUUCCAAUCCAUGAACAUGAAAGGUCUUUCCACUGUUUAGGAUCUUAUUUCUUUCUUCAGUGUUCUGAAUUUUCAUUGUAGAAGUCUUUCAUUUCCUUAAGUUUAUUCGUGUGUGUGUGUGUGUGUGUGUGUGUGUGUGUGUGUGUUGCAAAUGGGAUAACUUUUCUGAUUUCUCAGCAAAUUUGUUAUUGUUAUAUAGAAAAGUUAUUGAUUUUUUCAAUGUUGAAUUUGUAUCUUACUACUUUAUUGAUUUUAUCAGUUCCAAUAGUGUUUUCAUGGCGUCUUGAGGUUUUUCUGUGUAUGGAAUCAUAUCUGCACACAGGGAUAAUUUUGAGUUCCUUCUUUUCUAUUUGUAUGCCUUUUAUUUUUCUCUUGCCUGAUUGACCUGGCUAAAAUUCCUACUACAUUGAAUAAGAGCACUGUGAACUACAUACUUGUUUUGUUCCUAAUCUUGGAGAAAAUGCUUUCAGUUUUCCCCAUUCAGCAUAAUGUUGACUGUGAGUUUGUUAUAUAUAGCAUUUAUUGUGAUGAGGUAUGAUCCUUUUAUAUCUAAUUUGUUCAACACUUUUAUCAUGAAGGAGCAUUGAAUCUUAUCACAGGCUUUUUCUGCAUAUAUUGAGAUUAUUAUGACUUUUCUUCC